CCUACGGGGCGCACCAGUGGGGAAUAUUGCACAAUGGGCGCAAGCCUGAUGCAGCCAUGCCGCGUGUAUGAAGAAGGCCUUCGGGUUGUAAAGUACUUUCAGCGGGGAGGAAGGUGUUGAGGUUAAUAACCUCAGCAAUUGACGUUACCCGCAGAAGAAGCACCGGCUAACUCCGUGCCAGCAGCCGCGGUAAUACGGAGGGUGUAAGCGUUAAUCGGAAUUACUGGGCGUAAAGCGCACGCAGGCGGUCUGUCAAGUCGGAUGUGAAAUCCCCGGGCUCAACCUGGAAAUUGCAUUCGAAACUGGCAGGCUAGAGUCUUGUAGGGGGGGGUAGAAUUCCAGGUGUAGCGGUGAAAUGCGUAGAGAUCUGGAGGAAUACCGGUGGCGAGGGCGGCCCCCUGGACAAAGACUGACGCUCAGAUGCGAAAGCGUGGGGAGCAAACAGGAUUAGAUACCCGGGUAGUC
rnacentral:rRNA from 1 species